rnacentral:ribozyme from 1 species
UUUUUUUUUUUUUUUUUUUUUUUUUUUUUUUUUUUUUUUUUUUUUUUUUUUUUUUUUUUGCUGUUUGUUCUUCUGAAGAAACGGUCACGAGAG